GCAAAAAUGUGAUCUUGCUUGUAAAUACAAUUUUGAGAGGUUAAUAAAUUACAAGUAGUGCUAUUUUUGUAUUUAGGUUAGCUAUUUAGCUUUACGUUCCAGGAUGCCUAGUGGCAGCCCCACAAUAUCCAGGAAGCCCUCUCUGCGGUUUUUCAGAUUAGGUAGUCGAAAAACCUAAGAAAUUUACCUGCUACAUUUCAA
rnacentral:other from 15 species